rnacentral:rRNA from 1 species
UAGGGAAUCUUCCGCAAUGGGCGAAAGCCUGACGGAGCAAUGCCGCGUGAGUGAAGAAGGCCUUCGGGUCGUAAAACUCUGUUAUAAGAGAAGAACAAAUUGUAGAGUAACUGCUACAGUCUUGACGGUAUCUUAUCAGAAAGCCACGGCUAACUACGUGCCAGCAGCCGCGGUAAUACGUAGGUGGCAAGCGUUGUCCGGAUUUAUUGGGCGUAAAGGGAGCGCAGGUGGUUUCUUAAGUCUGAUGUGAAAGCCCACGGCUUAACCGUGGAGGGUCAUUGGAAACUGGGAAACUUGAGUACAGAAGAGGAAUGUGGAACUCCAUGUGUAGCGGUGGAAUGCGUAGAUAUAUGGAAGAACACCAGUGGCGAAGGCGACAUUCUGGUCUGUUACUGACACUGAGGCUCGAAAGCGUGGGGAGCAAACA